rnacentral:rRNA from 1 species
GAUGAACGCUGGCUGUGUGCCUAAUACAUGCAUGUCGAGCGAAGCACUUUUGUGCUUAGCGGCGAAUGGGUGAGUAACACGUACUUAACCUACCCUCAAGAUUGGGACAACACUUGGAAACGAGUGCUAAUACCAAAUACGUAUUUUUAUCGCAUGAUAGAUAUAUAAAAGGAGCUUCGGCUUCACUAGAGGAUGGGAGUGCGCUACAUUAGUUAGUUGGUAGGGUAAUGGCCUACCAAGACUAUGAUGUAUAGCGGGGCCGAGAGGCUGAUCCGCCACACUGGGACUGAGAUACGGCCCAGACUCCUACGGGAGGCAGCAGUAGGGAAUUUUCCACAAUGAACGAAAGUUUGAUGGAGCGACACAGCGUGCAGGAUGGAGGUCUUCGGAUUGUAAACUGCUGUUAUAAGAGAAGAAAAACCCUGGUAGGUAAUGACCAGGACUUGACGGUACCUUAUCAGAAAGCGACGGCUAACUAUGUGCCAGCAGCCGCGGUAAUACAUAGGUCGCAAGCGUUAUCCGGAAUUAUUGGGCGUAAAGAGUUCGUAGGUGGUUUUGUAAGUCUGAAGUUAAAUACCGGGGCUCAACCCCGGCCCGCUUUGGAUACUGCAAAACUAGAGUAAUAGAGAGGUUAGUGGAACUCCAAGUGAAGCGGUGGAAUGCGUAGAUAUUUGGAAGAACACCAAUGGCGAAGGCAACUAACUGGAUAUUAACUGACACUGAGGAACGAAAGCGUGGGUAGCAAACAGG